rnacentral:rRNA from 1 species
AGAGUUUGAUCCUGGCUCAGGAUGAACGCUAGCGGCAGGCUUAAUACAUGCAAGUCGUGGGGCAUCGCGGGUAGCAAUACCUGGCGGCGACCGGCAAACGGGUGCGGAACACGUACGGAACCUUCCUUUAAGCGGGGAAUAGCCCAGGGAAACUUGGAUUAAUACCCCAUAAGAUCAUCGGGUGGCAUCACCUGGUGAUUAAAGCUCCGGCACUUAAAGAUGGGCGUGCGGCUGAUUAGGUAGUUGGCGGGGUAACGGCCCACCAAGCCGACGAUCAGUAACUGGUGUGAGAGCACGACCAGUCACACGGGCACUGAGACACGGGCCCGACUCCUACGGGAGGCAGCAGUAAGGAAUAUUGGUCAAUGGACGCAAGUCUGAACCAGCCAUGCCGCGUGGAGGAUGAAGGCCCUCUGGGUUGUAAACUUCUUUUAUUAGGGAAGAAACCUCGACUUUCCAGUUGAGUUGACGGUACCUGAUGAAUAAGCACCGGCUAACUCCGUGCCAGCAGCCGCGGUAAUACGGAGGGUGCAAGCGUUAUCCGGAUUCACUGGGUUUAAAGGGUGCGUAGGUGGGCAGGUAAGUCAGUGGUGAAAUCUCCGGGCUUAACCCGGAAACUGCCGUUGAUACUAUCUGUCUUGAAUGUAGUGGAGGUGAGCGGAAUAUGUCAUGUAGCGGUGAAAUGCUUAGAUAUGACAUAGAACAUCUAUUGCGAAGGCAGCUCGCUACACUACGAUUGACACUGAGGCACGAAAGCGUGGGGAUCAAACAGGAUUAGAUACCCCAGUAGUCC